UUCUAUUUUUGUAUUCAGUUGAACUUCUUCCGGAAAGGACUCAAGUCACUUGAGGCUGUCAAGCCACAUGUUAGGUUGGUUACAGAGGAGGAAGGUGAUGAGAGUGUUCGCAGGGUUUAGAUGAUGAGGAAGGUGAUGAGAGUGGUCAUGCAACCGGGAGUUAGAAUGAGAACCCCGGUGUCAAUCCCAAAUCUUCAGGAAACUUGAAAAAUGGUAGAAUCCAUCUCCCUUGAUGAAGCUGCAAGGUUAUUACUUGGGGAUGCACACAAUGCAUCCGUAAUGAGAAGUAAAGUAAGGCGGAUUUAUGAUAUUGCAAAUGUUUCGUCCUCCAUGAAUCUUAUUGAAAAGACCCACACAGCAGAUACAAGGAAGCCUGCAUAUAAAUGGUUGGGAUUGAGAGGAAAAGAUGCUACGAGUUCAACUUCAGACGAGUCUAGAAAAAGAGCCUUUGGAACAGAUAUCACAAACG